GGCUCAGGGAGGUGACAGGGUCACCAUCAUCAUCAUCGGUGACAAUGUGGCACCUCCAGGUGUCCUCAGUGUGCUGCAGUGUGACCCAGAGCACCUUGGUGAAUUCCUCCAGGUCCCUGUACAGGCGCUUUGGGCACUCGAGCAGCAUCUCGUCGUCCCACAUGGGCAGGGUGUCCAGCAGCUCACCCAGGGUGGCCACCACGGUGACCUGUGGCUGCAGCAGGGCCGGGGACAGCUGGGGAGGGGACAGGGGAGGUGUCAGGGACCUGGUGGCACUUGUGCUGUCCUGAGGUGGCCCCUUUGUCCCCCUCCCUGCCAGGCUCUGAUGCCCGUCUGUCCCUCCCUUGUCCCCUCUGCCACCUCCUGUCCCCUCUGCUGUCCCCUCAGCUGCCACCUCCUGUCCCCUCUGCCACCUCACUGCCCCCUCUCCCUUCCACGUGUCCUCUCUGUCCCAUUUCCCCGGCUCCGUCGCAGCUCUUGGGGCUCUAUGGUCACUGGGGACAUCUUGGGGACACCUUGGGGACACCUUGGGGAUGGUCUGGUGGCAAAGGAACCCCGGGACUGGCUCCGGUCCAGGCACAGAACCAGCCGCGGGAACGGCGCCAAGAACAUGGCGGAAUCGCCUCAGGAGGCGCUGGAGAGGCCCGAGCGGGAUCGGUAAGGGCCGGAAAGAACCGAGCGGGAUCGGGAAGCGCCGGAAAGAACCGAGCGGGAUCGGGAAGAGCCGGAAAGGCCCGAGCGGGAUCGGGAGGGGCCGGAAAGGCCCGAGCGGCUUCGGGAAGCGCCGGAAAGGCCCGAGCGGGAUCGGGAAGCGCCGGAAAGGCCCGAGCGGGUUCGGGAAGCGCCGGAAAGGCCCGAGCGGGAUCGGGAAGCUCCAUCCCAAGCUCCAUCCCCACUCAGGACACAUCGCUAUGGGGGGGAUGUCACCCCCCGUUUAUUUUGGAGACAUUUGGGGACAUUGUGGGACAAUGAGGGUCAUUGGGGGACAUUUUGGACAUUGGGGACAUUGGGAACACUGGGGACAUUUUGGACAUUGGGGGGACAUUUGGGAUACUGGGGAUAUUUGGGGACAUUUGGGGACAUUGGGGACAUGGAAAUGAAGGGGGAUAUUUGGGGACAUUUGGGGACUUUGGGGAUAUUUGGUGACACUAAGGACAUUGGGGAUUUUGGGGGACAUUUUGGACAUUGGGGACAUUUGGGGACACUUGGUGACAUCGGUGCCAUGGGUGUCACCUCCCCGCCGAGGGCCACAGGCGCUGGCAGAGCCCCCCGAUGACAAAGGCCACCAGGGCCAUCCCCGCCAUGUCCUCCAUGCUGGGCCCGGUGUCACCUGCGGGGGGACAGUGGGGACACGUCAGCGACACCCCCGGGUGGCACCGAGCCCGUCCUGGUGUCCCCAACCCUGUCCUGGUGUCACCAACCCUGUCCCUGUGUCACCAGCCUGUCCAUGAUGUCCCCAGCCUUGUCCCCAAUGUCCCCAAUUCCAUCCCACGUGUCCCCAACCCCAUUCCUGAUGUCCCCAACCCCGUUCCUGAUGUCCCCAACCCCGUCCUUGAUGUCCCUAACCUUGUCCCCAAUGUCCCCAACUCCAUUCCUGAUGUCCCCAACCCUGU
ensembl:lncRNA